GGAGGGUGCAAGCGUUAUCCGGAUUCACUGGGUUUAAAGGGAGCGUAGGAGGGCAGGUAAGUCAGUGGUGAAAUCUUCGAGCUUAACUCGGAAACUGCCGUUGAUACUAUCUGUCUUGAAUACCGUGGAGAUGAGCGGAAUAUGUCAUGUAGCGGUGAAAUGCUUAGAUAUGACAUAGAACACCAAUUGCGAAGGCAGCUCGUUACACGAAUAUUGACUCUGAGGCUCGAAAGCGUGGGGAUCAAACAGGAUUAGAUACCCUGGUAGUCCACGCCCUAAACGAUGGAUACUCGACAUACGCGAUACACUGUGUGUGUCUGAGCGAAAGCAUUAAGUAUCCCACCUGGGAAGUACGACCGCAAGGUUGAA
rnacentral:rRNA from 1 species